GUCCACGCCGUAAACGAUGAAUGCUAGGUGUUAGGGGUUUCAAUACCCUUGGUGCCGAAGUUAACACAUUAAGCAUUCCGCCUGGGGAGUACGCUCGCAAGAGUGAAACUCAAAGGAAUUGACGGGGACCCCGCACAAGCAGUGGAGUAUGUGGUUUAAUUCGAAGCAACGCGAAGAACCUUACCAGGUCUUGACAUCCUCUUGAAUACAUUAGAGAUAGUGUAGGCCUUCGGGACAAGAGAGACAGGUGGUGCAUGGUUGUCGU
rnacentral:rRNA from 1 species